rnacentral:rRNA from 1 species
CCUUGGGCCCGGCAUAACCCCGGGAAACUGGGGAUAAUUCCGGAUAACGCACAUAUGCUGGAAUGCUUUAUGCGUCAAAUGGAUUCGUCUGCCCAAGGAUGGGUCUGCGGCCUAUCAGGUAGUAGUGGGUGUAAUGUACCUACUAGCCGACGACGGGUACGGGUUGUGAGAGCAAGAGCCCGGAGAUGGAUUCUGAGACAUGAAUCCAGGCCCUACGGGGCGCAGCAGGCGCGAAAACUUUACAAUGCGGGAAACCGUGAUAAGGGGACACCGAGUGCCAGCAUCAUAUGCUGGCUGUCCGGGUGUGUAAAAUACACCUGUUAGCAAGGGCCGGGCAAGACCGGUGCCAGCCGCCGCGGUAACACCGGCGGCCCGAGUGGUGAUCGUGAUUAUUGGGUCUAAAGGGUCCGUAGCCGGUUUGGUCAGUCCUCCGGGAAAUCUGACGGCUUAACCGUUAGGCUUUCGGAGGAUACUGCCAGGCUUGGAACCGGGAGAGGUAAGAGGUACUACAGGGGUAGGAGUGAAAUCUUGUAAUCCCUGUGGGACCACCUGUGGCGAAA